rnacentral:rRNA from 1 species
AGUAACACGUGGGUAACCUGCCCGGAAGUGGGGGAAUACCUCGGGGAAACUCGAGCUAAUGCCGCAUAAAAUCUCCGGGACGAAAGUCCUGAUGAUCAAAGCGGGGUCGCAAGAUCUCGCGCUACCGGAUGGGCCCGCGCCCGAUUAGCUAGUUGGUGAGGUAAUGGCUCACCAAGGCAACGAUCGGUAGCCGGCCUGAGAGGGUGAUCGGCCACACCGGAACUGAGACACGGUCCGG